UAAAUAAAUUUUUAUAGUUUAAGAAUUUUAUUAUAAAUUUAUUUUACAUAUAAAUUUUAGUGUUAAAUUUUAGUUAUUUUAAUAAUAAAUAAAAAAUUUGUAGUAAUUAAUAUUAAAAAUUUAAGAAAUUAAGAUUUAGUAAUAUUUAAAUUAAUAACAAAUUUUGUGCCAGCAGUUGCGGUUAUACAAAAAUUAAAUUAAAUUUUAUUAGUAAUUAAUAAGUAAAUAAAAAUUUUAAAUAAAUAUUUUAUUAUUAAGUGAAAUUUUAAUUAAAUAAAAAUUAAAUUUUAUUUUAUGAUUUAAUAAAUUUUAAUUAAAAACUAGGAUUAGAUACCCUAUUAUUAAAAAUUUAAAUUAAAUAUACUAAAAUAGUAAAUAAUUAUUUAUUGAAACUUAAAUAAUUUGGCGGUAUUUUAGUUUAUUUAGAGGAAUCUGUUUAAUAAUUGAUAAUCCACGAAUAAAUUUACUUAAUUUAUAAUUUUGUAUAUCGUUGUUAAAAAAAUAUUUUCAAAUAAAUAUAAUAUUUUAAAUUUAUAAUAUAAAAUUAAGUCAGAUCAAGAUGCAGAUUAUAAUUAAGAAUAUAAUGGAUUACAUUAAAUUUAUUUAAAUGAAUAUUAAUUUGUAAUAAUUAAUUGAAAUUGGAUUUAAAUGUAAUUUUAUUUAAUUUAAUAAAAUGAUUAUAAAUUAAAAUAUGUACAUAUUGCCCGUCGCUUUCAUAAAUAAAUUGAAAUAAGUCGUAACAAAGUAGAGGUACUGGAAAGUGUUUCUAGAAAAA
rnacentral:ncRNA from 1 species